GACAGAGGGUGCAAACGUUUGUUCGGAAUUACUGGACGUAAAGCGCGUGUAGGCGGCUAUGCAAGUCGGAUGUGAAAGCCCUCGGCUCAACCGAGGAAGUGCACCCGAAACUGCAAAGCUAGAGUCUCGGAGAGGAUCGUGGAAUUCUCGGUGUAGAGGUGAAAUUCGUAGAUAUCGAGAGGAACACCGGUGACGAAGGCGGCGAUCUGGACGAUGACUGACGCUGAGACGCGAAAACGUGGAAAGCAAACAGA
rnacentral:rRNA from 1 species